UCUUUUUCUAUGUCGCGGCUUGUGUUUACGCACUUGUCGUGGCGAUGGGACGUCCAGCGAAUGAAUGAAAUUAGAACCAACGCCUCCACCCGGGGGCAGUAACACUCAGACGUGUUGACUCAAUUCAUUCCGUGCGAAAGCCGAGCCUUGUUGCUCGGCGUCUACUGACGAACAACUGCCCUAUCAGCCAGUGAUGGCCGUGUAGUGGACUGCCAUGGCGUUGACGGGAGCGGGGGAUUAGGGUUCGAUUCCGGAGAGGGAGCCUGAGAAAUAGCUACCACUUCUACGGAGGGCAGCAGGCGCGCAAAUUGCCCAAUGUCGAAAAAAUACGAUGAGGCAGCGAAAAGAAAUAGAGCCGACCGUGCCCUAGUGCAUGGUUGUUUUCAAUGGGGGAUACUCAAACCCAUCCAAUAUCGAGUAACAAUUGGAGGACAAGUCUGGUGCCAGCACCCGCGGUAAUUCCAGCUCCAAAAGCGUAUAUCAAUGCUGUUGCUGUUAAAGGGUUCGUAGUUGAACUGUGGGCCACG
rnacentral:rRNA from 1 species